rnacentral:lncRNA from 1 species
AGAAAAACUUUGAUUAAACAUUCUCUUUUUUCCCAUUUUCCACCAGGUCUUUGCUUUGUAGGAAAGAUGGGCAGCGAUCUGUCACAUAGGUUGACUUUGAGAUAAGCAUUGCCGGUGGAUUCUGAGAACAAAAGCAUUCUGCUGUUUUCUAUCAAUUAUUGCGAACUCUCAAAAGGUUUUUAUUUCUUCUGUAUUUUGAAUGUUUUACAUCCGAUGUAGCUUGGAGAUGGUGAAUAUUCAAUAAGAAAACAUAUUGUUAUCUAAUGGUGUUUUCCUCAUCUAUGAAGCAGGUCAUACCAAGAGAACAACAGACAGAGGAAAUGAAAAAGGAGAGGAAUCGUUGACAUUUCAACAUUCUGUAUAAUCUUUGAAGAUCAAAUUAGAAGCUUAAUGUACUGUACCACGUGAGUACCUGGCAGCUUAGGAUAGCGGAAAGAACAUUAGGAAGGAAAGGAGGAAGGGAGUAAGUGUUGCCAUACUACCUGUUAUGUGCCAGACACUGUGCUAAGGAGAGUGAUGAGACCUGGUAUGUAGAACCAGCUUUGUUCUUAACUCAUCAUGUGAUGGUAUACCAAUUAGCUAUCUUCUCUGGGA